GUUUAGAAAAAGGAAAGUUGUCUUGUCUUGUUCUUUUUUAAACACCUUAGGUUUAAAAAAGAACAAAACAAAACAACUAAAAACACCUUAGAGUCUAAGGUGUUUUUUUU